rnacentral:rRNA from 1 species
GACGUAGGGCGCGAGCGUUGUCCGGAUUUAUUGGGCGUAAAGAGCUCGUAGGCGGCUUGUCGCGUCGUUCGUGAAAACCUGCAGCUCAACUGCAGGCUUGCGGUCGAUACGGGCAGGCUGGAGUUCGGUAGGGGAGACUGGAAUUCCUGGUGUAGCGGUGAAAUGCGUAGAUAUCUGGAGGAACACCGGUGGCGAAGGCGGCAUCCUGGACCGGCAUUGACGCUGAGGAGCGAAAGCCAGGGGAGCAAACGGG